rnacentral:rRNA from 1 species
GUCCUAGCCGUAAACGGUGAUCACUAGGUGUUGGAGGCAUCGACCCCUCCAGUGCCGCAGCUAACGCAUUAAGUGAUCCGCCUGGGGAGUACGGCCGCAAGGUUGAAACUCAAAGGAAUUGACGGGGGCCCGCACAAGCGGUGGAGCAUGUGGUUUAAUUCGACGCAACGCGAAGAACCUUACCCAGACUUGACAUGCACUAGAUAGGUGUGGAAACACACCCUCCCUUCGGGGCUGGUGCACAGGUGCUGCAUGGCUGUCGU